UCAAGCUGUAAAGGGCGCAAGGGGAAUGCCUUGGCACUGAGAGCCGACGAAGGACGCGACAAGCUGCGAUAAGCUACGGGGAGCCGCAAAUGGGCUUUGAUCCGUGGAUUUCCGAAUGGGGAAACCCGAUGGAGCAAUACUCCAUCAACCAUGACUGAAUACAUAGGUCAUGGUGGGGAACCGCCUGAACUGAAACAUCUAAGUAGGGCGAGGAAGAGAAAUCAACCGAGAUUCCGCUAGUAGUGGCGAGCGAACGCGGAAGAGGCCAAACCGGAGGUAGCAAUAUUUCCGGGGUUAGGACUGCAAUAUGUAACUUUAAUCUUUAACUGAAUGCUUUGGGAAGAGCAGCGAUACAGGGUGAUAGCCCCGUAAGUGAAAAGGAUUGAGUGCUAGCAGUAUCCAGAGUACCAGCGGACACGUGAAACCCGCUGGGAAGAUGGGGGGACCAUCCUCCAAGCCUAAAUACUACUCAGUGACCGAUAGUGGAGCAGUACCGUGAGGGAAAGGUGAAAAGUACCCCGGGAGGGGAGUGAAAAAGAACCUGAAACCUUGUGCCUACAAGCACCGAGAGUCCGUUAAAGGAUGAUCGGGUACUUUUUGUAGAACGGUCCGGCGAGUUAAUAUUUGCAGCGAGGUUAAGGAACUGGAGUUCCGGAGCCGCAGCGAGAGCGAGUCUGAAAAGGGCGUAUGAAGUUGCAGGUAUUAGACCCGAAACCGGGUGACCUAUCCAUGAGCAGGCUGAAGCGGUGGUAAGACACCGUGGAGGGCCGCACCCACGUCUGUUGAAAAAGCCGGGGAUGACUUGUGGAUAGCGGAGAAAUUCCAAUCGAACUCGGAGAUAGCUGGUUCUCCCCGAAAUAGCUUUAGGGCUAGCGUUAUUUUAGAUUACCGGAGGUAAAGCACUGAAUGGUCUAGGGGCCGCGAGGUUACCAAAGCCUAUCAAACUCUGAAUGCCGGAUAAUUGAUGAAUAGCAGUCAGACUGUGUGAGAUAAGUCUCAUAGUCAAAAGGGAAACAGCCCAGAUCUACAGCUAAGGUCCCAAAUGAACACUAAGUGGAAAAUGAUGUGAAACUGCGAAGACAACCAGGAUGUUGGCUUAGAAGCAGCCACUCAUUCAAAGAGUGCGUAAUAGCUCACUGGUCGAGUGGUUUUGCGCAGAAAAUGUAACGGGGCUAAGUGUUCAACCGAAGCUUAGGCAUUGCAGUAAUGCAUUGGGUAGGGGAGCGUCGUAUGCGGGGCGAAGUCAGAGCGGAAGCACUGGUGGACUGCAUACGAGUGAGAAUGCCGGAAUAAGUAGCGAGAAUUAUGUGAGAAUCAUAAUGGCCGAAAAUCUAAGGUUUCUUGGGGAAGGUUCGUCCGCCCAAGGUUAGUCGGGAGCUAAGCUCAGGCCGAAAGGCGUAGGCGAUGCACAUACGGUAGAAAUUCCGUAACCACCGAACAUUUAAGCUAGAGGGACGCUUUCUUUAAGGUUAUCCCGGGCGAUGGUUGCCCCGGGCGUAAGGGACCGAAAUAUAGUAGGGAAGUAACUGGCGAGAGAGACGAGAAAAGCUCUAGUGUAUACUAAGGUGCCCGUACCGCAAACCGACACAGGUAGAUGGGAUGAGUAUUCUAAGGCCAACGGGAGAAGGGUUGUUAAGGAACUCGGCAAAUUGGCCCCGUAACUUCGGGAUAAGGGGCGCCUGCGAGAGCAGGCCGCAGUGAAAAGGCCCAAGCGACUGUUUAGCAAAAACACAGCUCUCUGCUAAAUCGAAAGAUGACGUAUAGGGGGUGACGCCUGCCCGGUGCUGGAAGGUUAAGGGGAGUGCUUAGCGCAAGCGAAGGUGCGAACUUAAGCCCCAGUAAACGGCGGCCGUAACUAUAACGGUCCUAAGGUAGCGAAAUUCCUUGUCAGGUAAGUUCUGACCCGCACGAAUGGCGUAAUGAUCUGGGCACUGUCUCAACAGCCCGCCCGGCGAAAUUGUAGUACCGGUGAAGAUGCCGGUUUCCCGCAACUAGACGGAAAGACCCCAUGGAGCUUCACUGUAGCUUGAUAUUGGAUCUCGGUAUUCCAUGUACAGGAUAGGUGGGAGACUUGGAAGUAAGCGCGCCAGCGUUUAUGGAGUCAACCUUGGGAUACCACUCUUGGGAUAUUGGGAUUCUAACCUGCGACCAUGAAUCUGGUCGGGGGACACUGUCAGGUGGGCAGUUUGACUGGGGCGGUCGCCUCCAAAAGAGUAACGGAGGCGCUCAAAGGUUCGUUCAGCACGGACGGAAAUCGUGCAUUGAGUG
rnacentral:rRNA from 1 species